UACGAAGGGGGCUAGCGUUGCUCGGAAUCACUGGGCGUAAAGGGUGCGUAGGCGGGUCUUUAAGUCAGGGGUGAAAUCCUGGAGCUCAACUCCAGAACUGCCUUUGAUACUGAAGAUCUUGAGUUCGGGAGAGGUGAGUGGAACUGCGAGUGUAGAGGUGAAAUUCGUAGAUAUUCGCAAGAACACCAGUGGCGAAGGCGGCUCACUGGCCCGAUACUGACGCUGAGGCACGAAAGCGUGGGGACGCAAACAGG
rnacentral:rRNA from 1 species